rnacentral:rRNA from 1 species
GUAGGUGGCAGGCGUUGUCCGGGAAUUAUUGGGGCGUAAAGCGCGCGCAGGCGGUUCUUUAAGUCUGAUGUGAAAGCCCACGGGCUCAACCGUGGGAGGGUCAUUGGAAACUGGAGAACUUGAGUACAGAAGAGGAAAGCAGAAUUCCACGUGUAGCGGUGAAAUGCGUAGAGAUGUGGAGGAACACCAGUGGCGAAGGCGGCUUUCUGGUCUGUAACUGACGCUGAUGCGCGAAAGCGUGGGGAGCAAACAGGAUUAGAUACCCUGGUAGUCCACGCCGUAAACGAUGAGUGCUAAGUGUUAGGGGGUUUCCGCCCCUUAGUGCUGCAGCUAACGCAUUAAGCACUCCGCCUGGGGAGUACGGCCGCAAAGGCUG